AUUGAACGCUGGCGGCGUGCCUAACACAUGCAAGUCGAGCGGUAACAGGUGUGGCAAUACAUGCUGACGAGCGGCGAACGGGUGAGUAAUGCUUCGGAAUCUACCUUAUGGUGGGGAAUAACUAGCCGAAAGGUUAGCUAAUACCGCAUACGUCCUACGGGAGAAAGCAGGGGAUCGCAAGACCUUGCGCCAAAAGAUGAGCCGAAGUCGGAUUAGCUAGUUGGUAGGGUAACGGCCUACCAAGGCGACGAUCCGUAGCUGGUCUGAGAGGAGGACCAGCCACACUGGGACUGAGACACGGCCCAGACUCCUACGGGAGGCAGCAGUGGGGAAUAUUGGACAAUGGGGGAAACCCUGAUCCAGCGACGCCGCGUGUGUGAAGAAGGCCUGCGGGUUGUAAAGCACUUUUAGUGGGGAUGAAAUGUGCAGGGUUAAUACCUCUGCAUUUUGACCUAACCCACAGAAAAAGCACCGGCUGACUCUGUGCCAGCCGCCGCCGUAA
rnacentral:rRNA from 1 species